UACGUAGGGUGCGAGCGUUGUCCGGAAUUAUUGGGCGUAAAGAGCUUGUAGGCGGUCUGUCGCGUCUGCUGUGAAAAUCCGGGGCUCAACCCCGGACUUGCAGUGGGUACGGGCAGACUAGAGUGUGGUAGGGGAGACUGGAAUUCCUGGUGUAGCGGUGAAAUGCGCAGAUAUCGCUUGGAACGCCAAAGGUGAAAACAGGUUGCUGGGGUUGUGCCGACGCUGAGACACGAAAGCCAGGGGAGCAAACGGG
rnacentral:rRNA from 1 species